rnacentral:rRNA from 1 species
GAUGAACGCUGGCGGCGUGCCUAAUACAUGCAAGUCGAGCGAAUGGAUUAAGAGCUUGCUCUUAUGAAGUUAGCGGCGGACGGGUGAGUAACACGUGGGUAACCUGCCCAUAAGACUGGGAUAACUCCGGGAAACCGGGGCUAAUACCGGAUAACAUUUUGAACCGCAUGGUUCGAACUUGAAAGGCGGCUUCGGCUGUCACUGAUGGAUGUACCAGCGUCGCAUUAGCUAGUUGGUGAGGUACCGGCUCACCAAGGCAACGAUGCGUAGCCGACCUGAGAGGGUGAUCGGCCACACUGGGACUGAGACACGGCCCAGACUCCUACGGGAGGCAGCAGUAGGGAAUCUUCCGCAAUGGACGAAAGUCUGACGGAGCAACGCCGCGUGAGUGAUGAAGGCUUUCGGGUCGUAAAACUCUGUUGUUAGGGAAGAACAAGUGCUAGUUGAAUAAGCUGGCACCUUGACGGUACCUAACCAGAAAGCCACGGCUAACUACGUGCCAGCAGCCGCCGUAA